CAGAAAAUAUCAUGAGCUUUGUCCCAAUUUCCUCAUGAGAUACGCCCCUUUCUCAUGAGGAAAUUGGGACAAUCCUCAUGAGAAUUAUGGCUCAUGAGCCGAAAUUCAUGCGUACAAGAUCAUGAGAUCCGACCUUUUCUCAUGAGCCUCGACCCUGACUUUUCUCAUGAGCCUCCUGAUCUUGCCUCAUGAAGCUCUUGAUCUUUUCUCAUGAGCCUCAUGAGAUCAUGCUCGUGAGACGACCGCUCGCUGUCCAGACAAUGUAGGUUAUUUACGCAUGCGUGCCAAGGGAAAUAGUCGGUGUGGCUGUGCAGAUGUGCGUAUGGAGUGAAUUCGUCGCUGUUUCCUCGGUAAUUUACUUUUAACAGUUCUAUUUAGUCAACAACUAUGGUGAUACUCUAGCUAGUAAAGUUUCUCUUUGAUCUAGCUAUGCUUGUGCUUGUUGCUAGACACUUUGUUUACAGCUCACCAAAGCUCGUGCGCAUGGAAGCGGAUCUCCCGGAUAGAAUAAUCGAACCAGCGCUAACACAACGGAGAAAGUAGCACGCGCGCGCGCGUUUAUGCUUUAGUUAAUUAAGGAACGUUAAUUUGCAGUGGUAACAUGUGGAAUCCUCUCAGAAGAUACAUUUGCUCUUUCACCUGUGUCUUUUUAGAAAGCAAACAUCAUUGAGACUGGGAGAUGUCACAUAGAGUUCCAGAUGACUUGAAGGGUCUGUUUGAUGCCAGCAUCUCUGUUGAGAUAGAUGUUCUCACAUUCACAAGAUUGGUUGUAUAGGAAAUGGUCAAUAUUCUUCAUUGAACUGGAAGGAUGAGAAGUUUGAACAUGAUCUAACAGCAUCAGUUGUUCAUCCACUAAGAAAUGUUGAUCCUUGUGCUCUUGUUGAAGCAGCUAUGCAAGACGAUGUGAUCACAAACUGGCCAAUCGAGACCUGUAGUUAGCGCAAAGGCUAGAAUAUCUUGAGCUACUUUCUGUAAAUAGAUUACUUUGCAAGUGCGCAUCAAUACUUAAUUGUGAGGGGAGACAUGUAAUUGUUGAAACUCUCAAUGAUAUCGAAGUAGAUCUGUAAUCAUAGAGACCACGCUGCAUGUGAACUUAAUUGAUACAAAUAUAACUAGAAUGGAAA